rnacentral:rRNA from 1 species
CCUACGGGAGGCAGCAGUGGGGAAUAUUGGACAAUGGGGGGAACCCUGAUCCAGCGACGCCGCGUGAGUGAAGAAGUAUUUCGGUAUGUAAAGCUCUAUCAGCAGGGAAGAAAGAAAUGACGGUACCUGACUAAGAAGCCCCGGCUAACUACGUGCCAGCAGCCGCGGUAAUACGUAGGGGGCAAGCGUUAUCCGGAUUUACUGGGUGUAAAGGGAGCGUAGACGGCGAUGCAAGUCUGAAGUGAAAGGCGGGGGCCCAACCCCCGGACUGCUUUGGAAACUGUAUGGCUGGAGUGCAGGAGAGGUAAGUGGAAUUCCUAGUGUAGCGGUGAAAUGCGUAGAGAUUAGGAGGAACACCAGUGGCGAAGGCGGCUUACUGGACUGUAACUGACGUUGAGGCUCGAAAGCGUGGGGAGCAAACAGGAUUAGAUACCCUGGUAGUC